rnacentral:rRNA from 1 species
UACAGAGGGUGCGAGCGUUGUCCGGAAUCACUGGGCGUAAGGGCGCGUAGGUGGCGACCCAAGUCGAUGGUGAAAGCUCGCCGCUCAACGGCGAGUCGGCCACCGAUACUGGGUUGCUGGAGCACUGUAGAGGCUCAUGGAAUUCCGGGUGUAGCGGUGGAAUGCGUAGAGAGUCCGGAGGAACACCGGUGGCGAAGGCGGCAUCCUGGACCGAUACUGACGGCUGAGGAGCGAAAGCCAGGGGAGCAAACGGG